CUGGCCCUGAAAUUGAAGCAAUCCUUCUGUCUCAGCCUCCCAAGUACCGGGAUUAAUUACAGACAGAUUACUUCUCACCAGCUUAUUAUCAAGAACGGGCAGUGCAGGCAGCAGCUCAGCAGCUCUGGGCUGGAGACAGCCCACAGCGCAGCAAGGCUCUACUGCAGACAGACGUUUCACACAGAAAACUCCACGAAGGCCACUCAAGGAAGAGAGCAGCUCGGCCUCACUGCACAGCACCUCCUGCAGCAGGGUCCUCCCCACCCCACCCCAGGACUCUCCCUGGAAAGCACACUGAGGGUGGUCUGGGCUUGGUCAGCCCCAAACCCAGCUGUGGAAGGUGGAGGUGAUGUCACAAAGGCAUUCCCUGGGAGGGCUGGCUCUACACGCAUC